GGCCCCUUCAUCUAGCGGUUAGGAUCUUGGAUUUUCAUUCCAAUCACAGGAGUUCGAGUCUCCUAGGGGUCA
rfam:Arcobacter nitrofigilis DSM 7299, complete genome.